GCAAACUUGGUCAUUUAGAGGAAGUAAAAGUCGUAACAAGGUUUCCGUAGGUGAACCUGCGGAAGGAUCAUUACAAAUCCAUCACGUCAUCCUCAUGACAAUGUUGAACUGUUCCCGCCUUUGUGCAGCAGCAGUGUCACCUGCGUUCGUUCCUCCGUGUGCUAUAUAAUAAUACACACGGGGGAUGUCGUGGUGUGCUGUUGCCGCAUAUGAGGAAACACCCUCUUUCAAACCAGUGUGACUCAACCUUCACGAGCGAUGGCUCUCUAAACACAUAACACAACGAAACCUAGAAACAACUUAUAACAAUGGAUCUCUAGGCUCUUGCAUCGAUGAAGAACGCAGC
rnacentral:misc_RNA from 1 species